rnacentral:lncRNA from 1 species
GGGGCCAGCUCAAGCAUGCCUUUGGGUGUGGGAUUUCUUAGCUGUGUUGAAGACCAAUCAGUGGCUUUUGCUCUUUGGUCGGUUUGUCUCAUUGACACAUUCCCCAUUUCCAUUCUCAAUUUUAUCUGGUUCAAAUAGAGGCUGUUAGUAGGAAGACAUGUCACCAAACCAGAAUACAUUCAUUAUGAAAAGACCAGUAUUUGCUCUUAACAGAAGCAUCAAAUUUUAAAUCU